GGGACAGGCGGCAGCUGUUGAUCCAGGGACCCUCCCCUGUUGAGGAGCAUUCCAGGCGGGGACAAAUAUAAAAGUAUUUCGUGGCUUUGAAAAUUGUUCAAAAACCCUUACUCCAACUGAAGAGAAACUGCCCAGAAAUCUGUUUAGUUCUAUCCCCAGACUCUGCCUCCUAAAAUAAAGAGACUUCCUUCAUUUGGGUUUGCGUUUAAACAGGUUUCCUUACUGUUUAUGUGACCUAGGACAAUAAAACAUUCCUUAACUUCC